rnacentral:rRNA from 1 species
GUGCCAGCAGCCGCGGUAAGACGAGGGAUCCUAGCGUUGUUCGGAAUUAUUGGGCGUAAAGCGGGUGUAGGUGGACUUAUAAGUCAGGUGUGAAAUCCCAGGGCUCAACCCUGGAAGUGCACUUGAUACUGCAAGUCUUGAGUGUGGUAGAGGCUAUUAGAAUUCUUGGUGUAGUGGUGAAAUACGUAGAUAUCAAGAGGAAUACCGGAGGCGAAGGCGGAUAGCUGGGCCAACACUGACACUGAGACCCGAAAGCGUGGGGAUCAAACAGGAUUAGAAACCCCCGUAGUCC